GGGCUAUCGGGAUGAACUAGCAUGCGAGUCAUUGUAGCAAUACAAGGCAGACGGCUCAGUAACGCGUAGUCAAUCUACCCUAUGGACGGGGAUAACCUCGGGAAACUGAGAAUAAUACUCGAUAGAACAUUAUGCCUGGAACGGUUUAUGUUUCAAAUGAUUUAUCGCCAUAGGAUGGGACUGCGGCCUAUCAGUUUGUUGGUGAGGUAAUGGCCCACCAAGACUAUUACAGGUACGGGCUCUGAGAGGAGUAGCCCGGAGAUGGGUACUGAGACACGGACCCAGGCCCUAUGGGGCGCAGCAGGCGAGAAAACUUUGCAAUGUGCGAAAGCACGACAAGGUUAAUCCGAGUGGUUUCUGCUAAAGAAACCUUUUGCUAGUCCUAGAAACACUAGUGAAUAAGGGGUGGGCAAGUUCUGGUGUCAGCCGCCGCGGUAAAACCAGCACCUCAAGUGGUCAGGAUGAUUAUUGGGCCUAAAGCAUCCGUAGCUCGUUUUGUAAGUUUUCGGUUAAAUCCAUACGCUCAACGUAUGGGCUGCCGGGAAUACUGCAUGACUAGGAAGUGGGAGAGGUAGACGGUACUCGAUAGGAAGGGGUAAAAUCCUUUGAUCUAUUGAUGACCACCUGUGGCGAAGGCGGUCUACCAGAACACGUCCGACGGUGAGGGAUGAAAGCUGGGGGAGCAAACCGGAUUAGAUACCCGGGUAGUCCCAGCUGUAAACUAUGCAAACUCAGUGAUGCAUUGGCUUGUGGCCAAUGCAGUGCUGCAGGGAAGCCGUUAAGUUUGCCGCCCGGGAAGUACGCACGCAAGUAUGAAACUUAAAGGAAUUGGCGGGGGAGCACCACAAGGGGUGAAGCCUGCGGUUCAAUUGGAUUCAACGCCGGG
rnacentral:rRNA from 1 species